UACGGAGGGGCUAGCGUUGUUCGGAAUUACUGGGCGUAAAGCGCACGUAGGCGGCUUUGUAAGUUAGAGGUGAAAGCCCAGGGCUUAACCCUGGAAUUGCCUUUAAGACUGCAUCGCUAGAAUCGUGGAGAGGUAAGUGGAAUUCCGAGUGUAGAGGUGAAAUUCGUAGAUAUUCGGAAGAAACACCAGUGGCGAAGGCGACUUACUGGACAGCGUAUUGA
rnacentral:rRNA from 1 species